AGCGCGGAAGCCGAGUGGUGAGGCGGACGGGCCGCAACCUGUCGGAUGAAGGUUCGAAUCCUUCCCGCGCUU
rnacentral:tRNA from 1 species